rnacentral:tRNA from 1 species
GCCCCUGUAGUUUAACGGAUAGAACAAGGGACUCCUAAGCCCUAGAUAGAAGUUCGACUCUUCUCGGGGGCA